rnacentral:rRNA from 1 species
GGAAGUAAAAGGUCGUAACAAGGUCUCCGUUGGUGAACCAGCGGAGGGAUCAUUAUCGAGUUAUUCAACUCCCAAACCCUAUGUGAACUUACCACUUGUUGCUUCGGCGCGCGCUUCGGCGCCGCCGAGGACACUUAAACUCUUUGUUUUUAUAAGCAUUUCUGAGUGGCCGAAAGGCAAAAAUACAAAUGAAUCAAAACUUUCAACAACGGAUCUCUUGGUUCUGGCAUCGAUGAAGAACGCAGCGAAAUGCGAUAAGUAAUGUGAAUUGCAGAAUUCAGUGAAUCAUCGAAUCUUUGAACGCACAUUGCGCCCGCCAGCAUUCUGGCGGGCAUGCCUGUUCGAGCGUCAUUUCAACCCUCGAGCCCGACUCUUUUGAGGACGGCUCGGCGUCGGGGGACGGCAGACUCCCCCCGGCAUCUCGCCGGGGACGCCGCCCCCGAAAUCUAGUGGCGGCCCUCCGAGGCGACCUCUGCGUAGUAACUUGUUCUCGCACCGGAAAGCUCAGAGCGGCCACGCCGUAAAACCCCAACUUUUUUCAGGUUGACCUCGAAUCAGGUAGGACUACCCGCUGAACUUAAGCAUAUCAAUAAGCGGAGGA